GGCGGCACCCUGAGACCGGACUUGCAAACGUGUAUAACACGUUUGCAAGUCCGGUCUCAGGGUGCCGC
rnacentral:pre_miRNA from 1 species